rnacentral:lncRNA from 1 species
AAAAAAUUGAAUCCAAAGUCAAUUCAUUUUCAGUCAAGUUUGAAUUGAUCGAGUAUGAUAUGAUAUUAACUUCAUCAGCUCAUUGGCCUUUUUUGGGUCAAAAGUGGGUCGAAUCCAAGCCUGAUCCAAAUAACUUCGGUUCGGGUUGGACUUGAUUAAUUUCAAAAUUCAGACUGCCCCACUUCUUCUGGUAACUCUCUCCCCAGUGCCUCCACGGUAGCCAACGGUGAUCUUGAUUAAGCUGCGUUUAAAUCAGCUUGUUCAUCUCUGUUGGGGUAGUCCAUGACUACAAAAUGAGCAGCAAUCGGUUUUAAUGUCAAGGAACAAUAUGAAGUGCUGUUAUUUUCUCUUUCUUCUUCUCCUCGGCAGUCCAGACAAAUGCAGGCUUUCAAUGAAUGGAUAAAAUUCCUCUAAUUUAAAUAGAGGGAAAGAAAGGAACAGGAAAAAAAAUUCGAGCCUAUAUCCAUGGUUUUAGCUGCACUCCUCUUGCAUUGCGUGUGGCUUGCUCGAAGGAUGUUGUGAACUUGUGCUUCCAAGUAGGUGAGAAUUCCUGCAUCCAUGCAUAUGAAAUCAUAAAGAAGGCCUCUGAAAUGAAAAUAUAUGAAAUGUAAAUAGAAUAAUUCAACAUCUCAACUCUAAAAAAUAAUCUUAGGCUGUGUUUGGAUGGGGCGAGGAGAGGAGGGUGGAGAGGGGGAUUGUUAUGACAAUGGAAUUGGGGUUCUCACUAUCCCUCGUCAUCACCAUUCUGCCCCCUCUUCUUCUUCUUCGAAUCCUCUCUCUUUCUUAAAGCCCUCUCUCUUGCCCUUAGACUGUUGCUACUCCCUUGCUAGAGGCGAGGCUUUGCAAGGCCUCUUCCGAUCAUCGGCGAGCACAGCUGGCUCGAUGACAAAUCAACCCACUCGUUUGAUAAAUUAUCGUGAUGCCUUCUCUGAGAUCAAGCGUGGAUCUGGCUCUCCUCGUUGCCCCGUGUUCUCUCUUGCCGAUUGCUUGAAGUCAUCAUUGGCGUGCCUGUUUCGACGACGAGGAGCAUUUUGCCUGCUCCUAACUUGGCUGUCUUGUUUUGAUUUCUUUUCCUCCACCACGAUAUGACCCUUUUGCUUUCAAGUUGAUAGAUUCGUGUUUGUGUUGAAUACUUAUGGACGAUUGAAUUAUUGGGGGAUAAUAUUUUAGCUAUUUUUUUGCAACUGUCCAAAGACAACUUUGUUGAGACAAAAAAAUCCACUUAUGAUAGUUUGCCAAAAUCCUACCCUACGGAGAUCUAGAGAGUACUAAUCAAUUCGCGUAGAGAUACUGAUCUGCACAUAACAAGAAGAGAAAGGCUCGUUGGAUUGACUCUUCCAAUGCCUAAAUUACGAAGGACGUUAAAAUAACAAUAUUGUCGUUCUUCUAGUUGGUCUUCUCACUUAGGCCUUUUUAUCUUGGCUUUCUCAAGUCGGCCUUGUCAUAUCGGCCUUCUUAUCUUGGCCUUUUCAUUUCAGCCUUCUCAGGCCUGCCUGGUCAGCUUUAGGGGUUCGGCCUCCGUCUUCACCUUAGCUUUAGCCUUCAAUUGAACUCUAGCCUUCACCUUAGUCUCAGCCUCAACUUUCACCUUGGCCUUCUCACCUUAGCCUUAGCUUUAGCUUUCAUCUCGAACUCAACUUUCUCAUCUCGGCCUUUGACUUCACCUCGGCCUUAGCUUCUCACCUCGGCCUCGGUCUUCUCACCUCGGCCUCGGUCUUCAACUCGAUCUUGGCCUUAGCAUUCCUUUCGGUCUUCUCGCCUCAGCCAUGGUUUCUCACCUCAGCAUCGACCUUCACCUCGACAUCGC